rnacentral:lncRNA from 1 species
UCGUACUUAGGGGGAUCAGCCCUUAGUACCAUACUGUACACAAUAUCUUAAGGCUAAAGCGUAAAUAAUCCCCUAUACAGGGUUGUUCAUCUCAGUUUGACAUUCAAGUCCGCACCAAAGGAAGUUUGGUUUGGAUAAUUCAUCAAGGGAUUCUAAAAUUUAGAACGCUCAUCAACUAUGGACUAGUCAAAUCAAUAAGGGUUUGCUAGUCUAAUAAUGUUUAACAGUAAAUGAAUAUUUAACUUGAAUAACAUAUCAAAAGGUAUACAAUAGAAUAAUUAUUGUAUAACAACAUCAUGCUUGAAGAUUAAUAAACUUUAAUAUCCAAGACAGGCUUGAUCAAUAAUAAUGAGAACUUGCUCAAUAUCGAAAGAGGAAAUAAUCAAUUUAUAUAACGAUAACAAGUAAAGUUAGGAAACUUGCUCAACAUAAAUGUAGCGUUAGAAAACUUGCUCAAUGUAACAAGAUAAGGUUUAGAAACUUGCCUCGUGCAUAGAUUACACUUAAACAAACUCGCUCUUUGAAUUAAAUCCUACAUAUCAAUUACGUUCACAAUACCAGUCAAUAAUAACGUACUAAACAUCACAAGUUUAUUCUUUGUCUAACUCGAGUUCAUUACUAUACUUAGUCAAUUACUACACUUAUUGUCAAAAAUUAAGACUUUCAGUUCACACGUAAUUGUGUUAUGGACAUGUUAAGAAUUUAUUUUAACAUCUCAUUAUAGGUCUAACAAGUCUUUAUAUUCAUUAGACUAGGUUACUAACUCAUUUCUAUACUUGAACAUUAAAAAUUUACAUUUUCUGGACAUUCUGCUAAGUGGCGCUGCGGCGCCACUUUUGUACUGGCUCUUGGCGCUGCGGCCGGACAGUUGGCGCUGCGGCGCGGGAAAAGAACUAGGAGUUGGCGCCGCGGCGCGAGACUCCAGUUCCAGUUUCUGCAAUUCGCGAAAAUUGCAGAACACGACUAAAAAUUUCCAAUCAACUUAUUUUUACACGAAUUUAGACAUACCCACAUGCUAGAAUUCAUAAAUAAUCAAUACUUAACAUCUAUGGAGUGAUUUUCACCCAUUAAAACACAUAAUCACAGAAUUAAAGCAUGCAAAUUGGACUGUUCUUGAUGUUCUUGAAGUUCUUGAACAAAAACAUGGAUUUUAAUGCUACGGAUUCGUUAUAAAGCCAAAUCCAACCAUUCAAGUUUCAUUUUGUUCAUUUUAACAUAUAUAAUCAUAUCAAUGUGUGAGUUUUGCAAAAUAAAUUAUAUUUGACAUAUAAAAAUCACGUAUAAGGCCAUAUGACCAUAUAACAUACUUUGAAAUCUUUUACUGUAUAAUUUCAUGAAACUGAAGAUACGGAAACCCAUAUAAUAUAUAUUAAAACAUGAUAUACUACUCGAAUCAUUACACAUAUCCCUAUAACAACACCCUUUCCCAAUUUACAGAGAAUUAUAGAAUAAAUGAAAGCCAUAUUCAUGAAAACUUUAAAAGACGUAAAAUAGGAAUUUGGGUUGGAGAGAAUUACCCAAAGCGUAGAAUAUAACUUACUAGGAAGUGAAUUCCUCAUCCACAAAACUCUGAAUUCUCAACUCUCUCUUUGUAUCUUUCUCUGAAACUCUCUCUGACACUUUCUAGACUUACGAAAAUUAAUGAAGAAAAGGAAGGGGAAAGCGUAUAAUAAAGAAGACGUCUGACGAGUUGUGGUCAGUUACCCAGUCAUGGGUAACUGCCCUCAACUCCCUAUAAGGCCUUGUUUGGCUAGUUAGAAUAGGUUUUAAAAAUCAUUUAAUUUAAUAAAUCUUUAUUAUAUAGUUUAACUAAUGUCACAUCCAUAUAAAAUAAAUCUAAUAUCUUAUUUAAUUUACUUUAAAUAAAAUAUAAUAAUUUCUCAUUAAUACACAUAGUCACAUAAUUCAAAUUCUCUUUGAUUAAUAAUGUCAAAUUAUUAAAUCUCUAAUUAAUAAUUAAAUUAAUUAAAAUACUACCAGGCUUAUUAAAUAUUUCUUUUAAUACAAUAAGCUCACAUAAUCACAUACUUCGAAUAAUAAAAAUUCUCUACAUUAAUUUAAUAAAUAUAACACAUAUAAUUAAAUUAAUCUACCACCACUUCAUCAAUUAAUCAUUUAAUCUAAUAAUUAAUUCAUUGAAAAAAUAUUUAUUUAAUCUAAUAAAUAUUUAAAUUAAAUUACAAAAUCUCGGUUGUCACAUCUUUCCCCUCUUAAAAGGAUUCUGUCUUCAGAAUCACAACUUAAUAAUUCGUUCCGUUACAUUCUCCCCCCUUACAAAGAUUCUGUCCCUAGAAUCGCAUAUAACAAUCUAAGUAAAUAAAUGAGGAUAAUUCUUCAUCAUAUUCUCUUCGAGUUCCCACGUAGCUUCUUCAGCGUUGUGGUUCCUCCAAAUUACCUUAACAGAAGGUAUUACUUUAUUUCUCAGAACUUGUUCUUUUCGGUCGAUAAUUUGAACAGGAAUUUCUUUGUAAGACAAGUCUUUGUCGAAAUGUAGGGGUUCAUAUUCAAUCACGUGCUUGUAAUUGGGUUUGUAGGGUCGUAGGACUGAGACAUAGAAAACAUUGUGGACAUUCUCUAGAGAUGGAGGAAAGGCUACCUCAUAAGCAACUUCUCCUACCCUUCUCAGAACUUCAAAGGGUCCGAUGAAUCUUGGGCUCAAUUUUCCUUUCUUUCUGAACCUGAUCUUUCCCUUCCAAGGAGAGACCUUUAAGAACACAUAGCUACCCGGCUCGAAUUCGACAUUCUUGCGGUGUGGAUCGGCGUAUUUCUUCUGUCUAUCUUGAGCUGCUGUCAAUCUUGCUCGAAUCACCUUGACUAUCUCUGCUGUUUGUUAUACCAAUUCCGGGCCUAGUAGUUGUCUUUCGCCAACUUCAUCCCAAUAUAGUGGAGUUUUGCACUUUCUGCCGUAUAACGCUUCAUAGGGUGGCAUUCCAAUACUAGCAUGAUAACUGUUGUUGUAACCGAACUCUACAAGCAGUAAAUGGUCAUCCUAAUUUCCUUUAAAAUCCAUUAUACAAGCUCUUAACAUAUCUUCCAAUGUUUGAAUUGUUCUUUCACUCUGUCCAUCUGUCUGAGGGUGAUAUGUUGUACUCAUUCUCAACUGUGUAUCCAUGCAUUCCUGUAGACGUUUCCAGAAGUUCGACAUAAAACGCGGAUCUCUAUCAGAAAUAAUUGAGACCGGAACUCCGUGCCUUGAAACAAUCUCUUUCAUAUAUAACCUUGCCAACUGAUCUAGGUUGAAUCUGAUUUUGAUCGGAAGGAAGUGUGCGGAUUUCGUCAAUCGGUCAAAAAUAACCCAUACUGCGUCGUAGCCUUUCUGAGUUGUCGGUAGGCCAACCACAAAAUCCAUCAUAAUAUGUUCCCAUUUCCACUCUGGGAUUUCUAAAGGUUGUAGUAACCCACUCGGUCUCUGAUGUUCUACUUUCACUUUCUGACAUGUCAGGCAUUUGGCAACACAUUCUGCAACCUCUCGUUUUAAAUUUGGCCACCAAAAGUGUUGUCGAAGAUCUUGGUACAUCUUGGUGCUACCAGGGUGAAUCGAAUAUCUUGAGUUGUGAGCUUCGCUUAAAAUUUCUUCCUUAAUCUCUGGUACUGGUGGUACCCAAAUUCUGCUCUCAAAUCUUAGUAGUCCCUCAUUGUCUAUUUUAAAUCUCGGUUCAGUCCCUUCAGAUAUCUUCUUCUUCACUUUCUCACAUUCUUCGUCCUGAAGUUGAGCCUCCUUAACUUUAUCCAGUAAGGUUGUACCAGCUUGCAUCUAAAACAACUUCUUGUCAAUUUCCAUAGGAUACUUCACUUCCAAUUCCAUCUUUUCCAUCGCUAAAAUUAGCUCCUCAUGAGCGGUCAACAUCAUCAAUUUCUCCCGACCUUUUCUACGGGCGUCGGCCACCACAUUUGCCUUACCCGGAUGGUAUAUAAUCUCACAAUCGUAGUCCUUAAUUAACUCCAACCACCUUCUUUGACGCAUGUUCAAGUCUUUCUGUGUAAAAAUAUAUUUCAGACUCUUGUGAUCUGUAUAUAUUUCACACUUCUCCCUAUAGAGAUAGUGCCUCCAGAUUUUCAAAGCAAAAAGCACUGCAGCUAACUCCAAGUCAUGGGUCGGAUACCGCUUCUCAUUAUCUUUCAGUUGUCGUAACGCAUACGCAAUGACUCUACCAUUCUGCAUAAGCACACAGCCAAGUCCUUUAUGCGAUGCAUCACUAUAUACCACAAAAUUUCCUGUGUCAUCCGGAAGAGAUAACACAGGUGUUGUACUCAACCUCUUCUUUAAUUCUUGAAAACUUUCCUCACACUUCUCCGUCCAAACGAAUUUCACCGAUUUCCUAGUCAAAUUCGUCAGCGGAGUUGCGAUCUUGGAAAAAUCCUGAAUGAAUCUUCUGUAAUAACCUGCCAAUCCAAGAAAACUUCUUACUUUCGACGGCGUCUUUGGCUGAUCCCAGUUAAUCACAGCUUCGACUUUGGAGGGAUCCACCGAAAUUCCGUCUCUAUCAAUCACAUGUCCAAGAAAUUGUACUCUUUCAAUCCAGAAUUCACAUUUCAAAAACUUAGCAUACAACUUCUCCCUUCUCAAUGUAUCUAAUGUCAACCUCAAAUGCUCUUCGUGUUCUUCCUUGGUUUUCGAAUAUACCAAAAUGUCAUCUAUAAAUACCACUACGAAUUUGUCCAAAAACGGCUUGAACAUUCCAUUCAUUAAACUCAUAAAUGUUGCAGGAGCAUUCGUUAGACCAAAUGACAUUACCAGAAAUUCGUAGUGGCCGUAUCAUGUUCUAAACGCUAUCUUCGGUACAUCCUCUGGUCUCACCUUCAGUUGAUGAUAACCACUUCUCAAAUCUAUCUCCGAAAAGUAUCUUGCUCCCUUUAACUGAUCGAACAAAUCGUCGAUUCGUGGUAAUGGAUACCUAUUCUUAAUCGUGACCUUAUUCAGUUCUCUGUAGUCAAUUUAGAGCCGCAUCGUUCCAUCCUUCUUCUUCACAAAUAAAACUGGCGCUCCCCACGGUGAUACGCUUGGUUGAAUAUACUUUUUAUCCAGUAAUUCUUGUAGUUGGACCAUCAGUUCUUUCAUCUCUACCGGUGCUAUUCGGUACGGUGCCUUCGAUAUUGGGGCCAUUCCUGGAGCCAAUUCGAUAACGAAUUUAACUGCUCUAUCUGGAGGAAGUCCCAACAAAUCAUUCGAAAAUACGUCUGCAAAAUCUCUCACUACCGAAAUCUCAUCAAUUUUUGGAUUCUCUUUACGACUAUUGACUAUGUAAGCUAGAUAUCCUACACAGCCUUACCUUAACAACCUUCUGGCCUGCAUCAUCGUCAGACAACUCGCUUGUCUAGGCGACUUGCUACCAUAAAACACAACCUUUGACGGAGUCAUAAGGUUAAUACGCUUCUUCUGGCAGUCAAUUACCGCCCCAUAAUUGGAUAACCAAUCCAUACCCAAAAUAACAUCAAAUUCUCCAAGUCGAAUAGGGAGAUCUACGUUCAUGAUAUUACCCUUAAUAUCUACUCUACAAUUCUUGUGCACAUACUUAACAGGGAUAAUUUCUCUAUUCACAAUUUCUAUGUUCAUGGGGUAUUCUAACUCGUCCUUAAACAAUUCUAAGUUCUUAGCGAAGUCAUCGAAUAUAAAUGAGCAAGUAGCACCCGAAUCAAAUAACACAUAAGCAUUAACUUUAUUGAUCAGAAUGAUACCUGACACCACAUCGCGAGACUGUACCGCGUCCUUCACUGUCAUGUUGAACGUUCUGGCUGUUGGUCUAUUGGUUGUGGUUGGUCCUGCAAUGGUUAGAGUGCUUCCACCAGUAUUUCCUCUGAUUCCUCCUGAACUCGUCCCUCCCGAUCCCUUCUUAGGACAAUCUCUUGCAAGAUGGUCCUUUGAUUCAAAUGUGAAGCAUACAUUCUUCUUUGGGUUCGGAUAGUUUGGUGCUAUGUGUCCUUCCUGACCACAAUUGUAGCACACUCGCUUCCCCUUCAGGCAAACUCCCAAAUGCGUUUUUCCACAGGUUGGGCACGGUUCAAUCUUCUUCUUCUGCCCUCCCUAUUGACUUCCAGCCGAUAAAUUUUCAGACCACUUCCUCUUCUGAUUGUGAUUACCCCCAGUGCUACUCCCACCAGUCUUGUUAUUACCUUCCUUCUCACUCUUUUUCUUCUUCUGCUCCUGAUUAUACUUCGUUACUGCAUCACUUCCACCCUCAAUAAGUAUGGCAUUCCCUAACACUCCAACAAAAGUGUCCAAUUGGAACAUUGACACUUUGCUAUAUAACCAGGGCUUCAGUCCCUGCUCAAAUCGUCUCACCUUCCUCUCAUCGGUAUGUACUUGGUACGUGACGAACCUAGCCAACUCAUUAAACCUUGCUGCAUAAUCAGCUACUGACAUAUUCCCUUGUUUUAACUCUAGAAACUGAACCUCCAUCUGAUUUUGCGAACUAGUUAGAAAAUACAUCUCGAAGAACAUCUCUUUGAAUCUUUCCCAGGAUAUUACACCUUCACCUCCUCCCACUUUGUUUGCCUGCCACCAAUAGCUGGCUUCGGGCUUCAGCAUAAACGUUGCAUAAGCAGUCUUCUGAUCUUCCCUUACCUUAACAACAUCGAACACCUUCUCCAUCUCCAUUACCCAGGUCUGAGCUUCGAUUGGGUUUAUGGAACCCUUAAACUCUACUGGUCCCACCGCCUUGAAGUCAUUAAACAAAGUAUUUAGUGGAGCUUGGGGUUGAUUAUUAAGUGCUCCAGCUAAAAGGUUUACCAAUUGCUGAACGGAGUUAGCAUUGGCGUCGUUGUUAUUGUUUGUUGACCCUUCCUGGGCUUGCUGACGAUUUUAUCUUCUAGGCGGCAUAUUUCUGUUAAGAAUAUACGCUUAUUAGGUUUUUAUUCAAUCUCUUAAACAUUUAAGAAAUCAAUUCAAAUAAACUUUGACAUUCUCAUUAAAUUCAAAAGUUUUAACACCAUAAGAUAGCGUCACUGCUAUUUACAUCAACUAUCCCAAGAUAAGGAAUCUACAGGAUUUAAAACAUCAACAUAUUCCUUUAUUUAUAAACAUAUCGGAAUUUACAUCAUUAACUAUCAAAUAGUUUUCACAUAUUUAAACUAAUACUAUCACUGUCUGUUAAGGCGCUGGAUGGCAUUGCUACGUUCCUCCUCCAUUAUGCGGCACAUAGUUCUGCGAUCUAGCAUAUAUGAUGGUAGAUCCUCAAACUGGAUUGGAUACUUCCUAACUCGAUCUUGGACCGCAUCCAUUGCAUUUUGUAGUGUAGAGUACGUCUCCUCAAGUUUAGCCUUCUUCGCACGGUGAUCAUCUUCUGCAUGAUUAGCAUGGCGUGACUCUCGUACCCAGCCCUCCUCUGCUAUGGCAAGCCUCUCUGAGCUCUCCUUCAGAUCCUUCUUUAACUUCUCUAUUUUUGCGGACUUAUCCUCGGUCUGACCCUUCUCGUGAACCAGAUCCCACUCCACGUUUCCUAAACGUGUGUGAAGAGUCACAAUCUCUCUAUCCCUUUGCUCAAUAGUAAUCUGCUGACUAACCGCCUGCUCAGUCAGAUCCUGAACAGUAUCCUGCAACUCUAUGUUAUGAUCAUAGAGUGAAUCAUACAUCUCUGCAUCAAUGGAGUUCGGUGGGAACUCCUCUUCUUCCUCUUCUUCUUCCUCUUCCUCAGGAUCCUCCUCUGGAUCUGUCUCCGGCUCAUGCUCCUGACCAGCAACAGUGAUCAACGGAGAUGGCUCUCUCUGUACAAGUUGUUCACUGACGACAUGAAUGUCUCGGGGCUCCUCCUCUAUAGGUAAUCGGGGUUCCUCCUCCCCAGCUCGACUAGCUCCUCCAACAUCCGACAUCCUGACAACAAAAUUUUAAGUUUUAGUUACUAAUCCGUGCUAGCGAAAACAUAGAUUAACACAUAAGCACAUAAAGUUUUUUUAUUAUCUUCAAUGAAUUCAGAAAUUCAUUUCUUAGAACUCGAUAAGAGUUUACCAUCACUAUGUUCUCGAUCUCCUACAAGGAUACUACAUAAGGUUGUUCCCCCCACCUAAGGUUCAUAACCUUACAACUUUGAUACCAACCUGUGACACCCCCAAAUCUGGUACUUCCAUUUCCACAGGAAUUGGUGUUCACUAUACAAACACCAUCUAUCUAUCUACCUAUAAAUAAAAUGCAAACCAUGCAAUUGAAUAAAUAAAUAUUAAAUCUCUCCCCUUAUGGGGUUACAUCAACUGAAUAAAAAUAAAUCCCACGUUACUCUAACCUUAAAACAUCUGUGCGGAAAACAUAAACAAAUAAGUCUUAAGUAACAUUAGGUCUAACUAUCAUUACAUAAUCACAUAAAUAAUCAGUCUUCAUUACUUGCAAAUCUUGCCCUUGCCCUUACUAGUGGAAGGUUCGUCUGCUCUUUCGUUCUUAACUGCAAUGUUAUUAUUACGCAAGAGUGAGCACGAUUGCCCACAAGUAUAACAAUAUAACAAUGAAUAAUAACAUGCGAGAGAAAUAAUAACUUCUGAUAUAAAGCUCAACUUUUGAAUCAAGAAUGGAUAACAAGAAUCAAAAGAAAUUAUGAGGGUCAUAAGACCUUGAACUAUGUCCUAGGUUGUCAAUUGUUUUUAAUUGAAACCUUUAACAGUCAUAAAACUAUGGACUCUUCUUCUCAUACUUAGGGGGAUCAGCCCUUAGUACCAUACUGUGCACAAUAUCUUAACGCUAAAGCGUAAAUAAUCCCCUAUAUAGGGUUGUUCAUCUCAGUUGGACAUUCAAGUUCGCACCAAAGGAAGUUUGGUUUGGAUAAUUCAUCAAGGGAUUCUGAAAUUUAGAACGCUCAUCAACUAUGGACUAGUCGAAUCAAUAAGGGUUCGCUAGUCUAAUAAUGUUUAACAGUAAAUGAAUAUUUAACUUGAAU